rnacentral:tRNA from 1 species
GCGUCGGUAGCUUAACGGCAGAGUGCCGGUCUCCAAAACCAUGGGUGUGAGGUCGAGACUCACCCGACGCGCCA